rnacentral:tRNA from 1 species
UUGUAGCUCAGUGGUAGAGCGUUUGGCUUUUACGCGUCUAAGGCCAACCAAAUGGUCGGGGGUUCGAUCCCCCCCAAG